rnacentral:rRNA from 1 species
CGGGGUGCACCAGGCGCGAAACCUCUGCAAUAGGCGAAAGCUUGACAGGGUUACUCUGAGUGAUGUCCGCUAAGGGCAUCUUUUGGCACUUCUAAAAAUAGUGUAGAAUAAGGGGUGGGCAAGUCUGGUGUCAGCCGCCGCGGUAAUACCAGCACCCCGAGUGGUCGGGACGAUUAUUGGGCCUAAAGCAUCCGUAGCCGGUUCUGCAAGUCUUCCGUUAAAUCCACCUGCUCAACAGAUGGGCUGCGGAGGAUACUACAGGGCUAGGAGGCGGGAGAGGCAAGCGGUACUCAGUGGGUAGGGGUAAAAUCCUCUGAUCCACUGAAGACCACCAGUGGCGAAGGCGGCUUGCCAGAACGCGCUCGACGGUGAGGGAUGAAAGCUGGGGGAGCAAACCGGAUUAGAUACCCGGGUAGUCCCAGCUGUAAACGAUGCAGACUCGGUGAUGGGUUGGCUUCGAGCCAACCCAGUGCCGCAGGGAAGCCGUUAAGUCUGCCGCCUGGGGAGUACGGUCGCAAGACUGAAACUUAAAGGAAUUGGCGGGG